AUCCUCGAUUCUCCGUUUCUUCGGACCCUUUAACAUCUUUCGAAAAUGUCGAACCAAAUCCGCCAGCCCCCAUCAUCAUCUUCACCGUCGUCAUCUUCAACCUUACUGGUUCAGUGUUUUCGAAAGAAGAAGGGAGGGGAAUCAAAGAUUUUCCGUUUCUUCGGACCCUUCAAACCCUUUCAAGAACAUUGAAUCAGUACACAAAAUUCUCAAAUCAGUUCAGAUCCAAUCCAAAUCAACAUCAAAACAGGGAUUUCUUCGGACCCUAAAUCAAGAUCAAAACAA
rnacentral:lncRNA from 1 species